UUUCCGUAGGUGAACCUGCGGAAGGAUCAUUAACGAGUUAGGGUCUUCCAGGCCCGACCUCCCAACCCUAUGUUUAUUGAACCUCUGUUGCUUCGGCGGACCCGCCUCACGGCCGCCGGAGGACCGCUGCAAGGCGUCCUCUGGCCAGCGUCCGCCGAUGGCCAACCACUUAAACUCUGAAUGAAUCGUGUCAUAUGUCUAAGUCUAUGAUUAAAUUAAGCAAAACUUUCAACAACGGAUCUCUUGGUUCUG
rnacentral:misc_RNA from 1 species